AAUCUUUUGUCUCCACAGUCAUUCACUUCCACACAAAACCAACUGUUGCCUAUUUGGGUAGUGGACUAGAAAAACCAUAGUAUAACUGAAGAGUUCUGGAUUGGAGAAAAGUCCAGCUUUUGAACAGAAAAAAGGGAAGAAUCCUUGAGUUCUCCACUGUGAAGAGCAGGUGCCAGAUACAAACCUUGUUCAAGAAAGAAAGCUGAUGAUCUCAGAAACAUUUUUGUUAUCCUGUUGUUGAUCUUACAAAA
rnacentral:lncRNA from 1 species